GCCCCGGGUGCCAGACGAGCUAGCUACGCCACUGUGCCCACCUCUAUGCUGCCCACCAUUCUCACCCUGGCUGAGCCUACAUACUUGAAGCUGCCAUAGACACUAGCAGCAGAGUGCGCCCUUGUAAUUUUUUAAAGAAACCUAAAGCAUAGUUGCUGUCUUUUACUACCUUUGAAACACUAUAAGGCAAUUUUGAAGUGACCAGUAAUAUAUGCUGUAAGAGAUCACAAUAAUCGCCUCCUAAUACCAUGUCAAAAUUUUGCAAAACAGCAGGAAAUAUAUUUCUGUUGGGCCACGAACAGUAAACUGUAGAAGUAAUACACUAACACAUACAAUUUUCUUGAGCAACAGCCAGGUCUGGUCUGUAUUGUGAGAGAAACAAUAUUUUAAAAAUUUAGUUUUGCUUAGUGUUCCUUAAUAUUUCCAGAAAAUAUAUCCUUGCCAGUUAGAAUUUUCAUAUAUUGCACAUGUACACAGCAUUUGCAUCCUCUAGUACUGUUCAGAACAACAGCAUUGCCUCCAAAAUACUGAGUUCAUUUCCAAUACACACUAUCUAUAUAAUUCUUUAAGGAUGGGCAAAAAUUUGUAAAUAUACAGGAUCUUUUUAUUUGUGCAAAUUACUCGGAUGAGUUCACCAAAUCUAUAAUACUUUUUUUUUAUUGCUUGGUUGUGUGAAACACCUGGCAUUUUUUUAUGGUAUAACAAUUUCAACACUUCUAACUACAAAGAAACGUGUAUAAUUAAGUCUCUCAAAAACUUUGAAGGCUUUUGAGACAGAAGCAUGACAAUUGCAGCUGCUCUGUCCUUAGAAGUGUUUGGAACAUACAGAAGCAGUGUUGUAUAUAAGGUUAUGCUGCAGUCAAGGUGCUGUUCUGAAGCAAGGCAUGGUAUAUACAUCAACUAAAUGUUAAAAAGUUUCCCUUCAACAGGAUCUUUAUGCCACCAAGUGGUGUUAUGGAAAAGUGCUCAGGGAUUGAUUAGCAAGUUUGAGCUGUCUUUAAGCUGAAGCUUUAGGCAAGCAGAGCUCAUCAAGUGUAUUUUCAGCAAGUAAAAGCUCGGCUCAUCCGUACAAAAAAGUUAAGUUCCUCCUCCACAUACCUUAAAGACAUGUUGAACUCGCCCUCAUACAAUGCUCAGUCGUGCUAAACAAAACAUAACUUUGAUGUGGAGAAAACAAAGUUGUUAGAAUGCCUUUAAAUGGGGUCACUGCUGAAUUGUCCAUGUCACGCAUACACAUGGCCCAAUCACACGGCAACCAGUCACUACACUUCUUUUCCAUCUGUUUCCUCUUUUUUUCCUUUCCUCACUCCAAUGGAUUUCAUAUUUAGCUUCUUGGUUCACCCUUGUCUUGCGUUGCCUUGCAGCCACAGGAGUUAAUCUCACAUUUGAUCCACAUGAGGUUGAAGCACCUCAAACCUUCAGCAAUGCAACCAUGCUUUGUUGCAAGUCAAGAUUCUGUUGACAAUUUAUGAUAAACAGAGACAGGCUGCAUCCUUCCUGAUUUUUAUUCUGAUAAGCAAUUAUAUGCACACUACAGUCAAAUUUCUGCUGUCAGAAUCACAGUGAUGUUCCGUAUAAAGUACAAAUGCAGUAACAUCGCAGCCAUGCACCGCAUGUUGUAGAUACGAGGGAAAGCUUACGAGGGCAAGCUAAGGAUGGCGACUUGGUGCGGCAGCGUAUUCUCACGCACGCAACAGAGGAAGGUGGGGAGGGUGCGAGGCAACUUUUUACAUGCGUGGGGGGGGGGAGUACAGAGGGGGCACGGUUCACUGCAUCUAUUCUAGCCAUGGUUGCGCAUGGUGUGGCUAAGCGCAGCUGCACGUGUCCUCUCUUGGAAGUAAUCUGCGGUGGGUUUGAAGGUAAUCUGCGGUAGGUUUCAAGGCUAAUCGACCCAAUAUAGCCGAUCGCUGUGUUCUCCUAUGCCUAGUUCGUGUUGAAGCGAGAGGCUGUAUGAAGGGGAAUUCGGUUGGCGCUGCUGCCGCUCUUCACCACGCAAGCGUUCAGACAGCGAGUGUCCACGGUCAUCGAGCGAGCCACCUCAACAGAUAUUGACAGGCAAGCCAUUGAAUUGCACUUUGGGGCAUCAGUGACCAACUUGUACGAUGAUGGAAAAGCAGUGUAGGUGAGUGUGGUUGUCUAGUUUUCUUAUUAGCAGCCUUUAAAUAUCACCUAAGCAGAUGACGCAUGCACGUUGUAGUUACAGGAUAUGAUGCAAGUCCCAGCAUGUCAACUCUGAGGUUUUGCAGCAUGCUACGGGUAUCCACAGCCAUGUUAUCUUGGAGGUCAUGCCAAGCAGCUGCACGUUCUACUUUUGCAUGCUAUUUGUGACGCAUCCAUUGUAUUUCAGAUAUAAAAUUUCGCGCAAGGGCUGUAUGGCUCUGAUCUGAAACUAGGCUUAUUGCACAGCCUAAAAUUUCGUCGCAAUUGGCGUUUAUUUGUAUCAGUCGGCGGAAACAAACUACUAUCUGGACCAGAACAAUCACGCUACAGUACAGUUCCAUGACAAUAAUAUUCAGCAGGAUACAACUUUGCAAGAGGUUUUUCUGGCAAUCUUAAACCUGCAAAAAAAGGGAGAGAAACAAGAGACAGUCACCUUUGGCAUCUGUAAGACGUUUACUGCACGAAGCAAUUUAUUUCUACACUUGCUUACAACUUUCUGUGGCAACGAAGGGAAAGCUACGGCGGUGGAGCUUCUGCAUGUGUUACCGCGCCAAGUAGUCAGCCAGCGUUUGACAGUGCUUUUGGUUGCUCGGAACAGACGCUGAAUCGACGCAGCUUCCAAGUGCGACGUUUUCGCAUUUGCCCAGAAGCGGAAGAAACAAUAGUCAGAAACAAUAAAUCGUACUGCGCAGCUCUGCAGGGAUUCAAGCAUGUUAAAGUGGUUAUGGUGGUAAUGAUCCCAAAGUGCACAUGCAUAUCAGAGUUUAGGCCCAACUAGGGAGCAGUAAGCUAGAAGUUUGACAGAGGGGGGGCACUAGUCAGAUAUUAUAUAUAUUACAAGGACUGCUGAAUGACAAUGAUGAAGAUGGCGACACUUUGUUGUUCGACAUCUAAGACAGUGGAGAGCCGUCUUUGCAACAGGAACAAGGAGAAUAAAACAAAACAAGAUUUAAUUAUGAAGCAAGCAGUGUGGAUUAAUUUUGACCCCCAGAGGUUACUUCACAUGCACCUAAAUAAGCACACGAGCGUUUUCUGCAUUUCGCUCCCAUUGAAAUGUGGCAGGCACACCCGGAAUGAAACCUGUGACCUUGAGCUCGGCAGUGCAAUGCCGUAGCCACUAAGCUACAGUGGCAGGUGAACACGGAGAAUGACUGCUGUGCUCAAGUGCUCUGAACAAACACACUUCACUUGGCCAAAGGCAUCUUAUACUUUUUAGCAGUUGCAAGUAUGCCAAAUAUCUCAAGAUUGGAAUUUUGCGACUAGUGUUUCCCUCUUGUUGACACAGUAUAUGCCAAACGUUUGCCUUCUCUGUUUUAAGUUAUCAAAUAGAACAAUUUAGUGUGUGCACUUCACUACAGUGCAACUACAGUGCAACAUUACAGAGGCCAAUUUUUAACAAUAACGUCUGGGCUAAUUGCUGCAGGAUAUUGAAAUUUCCCCCAUUUCAUCCUCAGUUCUUUGACUAUGUGAAAUCUUACCUUCGUAUAUGUUUUAACCUGCCCAUGAGAACAAUUUAAAACGAUUACUAAUGCAUCAAAAUCACAUUUGGCUACUUAGGACAUUACUGCUUUAAGCAGCAAAAGCAACUCUGUGAAAGAUGGUUUCAGACCUAGACUGGCCAGGAAAAUGGCACCACUUUGAGUCAUUUCAGUACACCUUCUUUACCCUUCUCAAUGUUAUUGUUUCUUACUUCAGUCAUGACUGUUUCUACGUUUUUUUUCUUAUGUAUGCUACCCCCUUAUGUAAUACCUAAACAGGAGCCUUUAAGGGUCAAUCAAUGAUGAUGAUGAAAAUAUUAUUUGAUGCAUAAGUAACAGCAACAUCUCAUCUGCUUUUGAAAUGACUAUGCAUUGUUGUGCCAUUACCACCAGCCCGGAUUCCGAAUCUACAAGAUGCAGAAUUCAUCCUGCGAGCGCCCUUUGGACAAACCCGGGGCUGCGCCGAAAGGCACAGCGCCCUAAUUCUCCCUUGACAAGUCAAGAUGCUGAGCCGUCAGGCAGCGGUGUCCUGCGGAGAAGUGUCGGCGAGCGACAUGUCCAAACGUGCCACCAAGUGCCAGACAGCCUGGCGCCGUACCUCCCUUUGCCUGGAGGUCACCGCGCCCGCCAACUUUGAACGGGGUGGCCAGCGCGGUCGCUGGUUGGACCUCUCGGACGACCGUCGAGUGCUGGCUUUGUAUUGGGCCGUUUGAGUGACAAUGGUUUCUCGGGCCAUUAUAAGCCGCGACGCGACCGCCUGGAAAACCGGAUCCGCCGACCCACCGGGAGCCGAGUGCCGCUCUCGACUGGAGUGAGAUGUGUCACGCGUUUUCGCCGGACGUCGCCGUGCGGGAACAGUCGCGUUUGCUGUGAGCUCUCGGCCCCAGUGCCGAUCCGAUCAUGUCCUGUAUAUAGUGUAUAAAGUCCCUUUUGUUAUUCUCACCGA